UGGCUCGGGCCGGGGGAGCCCACGCUCACGCUGCCCCGCAAGGCCAUGAUACCCACCGCAGCCCCCGAAUUUGCCAUAGUCGAGCGUGAAUUAAAGGGCUGUGCUGGGUCAGCACGCACGGUGGAGUGGAAACGGAGGGAGCGAAGGAGGGCGCUGUAGGGAAAACAAGAUCUCCGUCGUCCCUGAGGGAGGGGAGAGCCUGCCGGGAGCCGCACACCCUGCCCCUGGCGGCGAGGCGCUGCUCCGGCCGCUGGGGGAAGACUCACCUCUGCCGCUGCAAAGACUAUGCACACUCGAAACUCUGGUACAUGAUUGUUAAGUGGACACAGGCAGAAGAGAAGAGUCUGAGGGCGCUGUGAUGACAGAAGACUGGCCAGAGACGUGCAGCUUUGCUGGCUUUGAAGGUGGAUGAAGGAACCGUAAGACCAGGAAUGUGGCAUGUUCAACUUUUGAAGAUACUCCACUUGUACGUGAAAAGGAUGUCGAUUUCCCCGCUGUUGAGUGCGAGGAGGAAUGUGUAUUUCCCCAGUGCUGAAUGUCUGUUGAGCUGAGUGGUUACAUUUGGAAUUCAGACUUCCUGAACCUCACGUCUGAAGUGAAUCAAUGUCUUGACGUCUCUGGAAUGGCCAUCCCACCUCCAGACUGACCUGCUGCUGUUUCCCAGCAUGCUGUUCUUUGUUUACAUUAUUGUUAUUAUUUUAUGUAGACUUUUAAAAAUGUAUCCACUUCUCUGAAAACUAUUCUCCUCACUAUUUCUUCAACAUCAGACCUUCCUUCUGGGGUUAUUUCCGUUUCUGGGAGAGCACAUUUUGGAGUCCUUUUGGUUAAAGUCUUUUAGUAGUAAAACCAUUGUUUCUUUCUAAAGUUCUCUUCGAUUUGCCAUUGUUUGUAAAUGUUAGUUUACUAGGCUGACAAUCCUGAGUCAGCUGUAAGGGUUUCGUCACACUGUCUCUGGCUUCCAUUUACUGCAAACAAGUCUCCAGUAAAUCUAAUUUUCACUUGUUUCUUCUCUUUUGCUGCUUUUAGGGUCUUAUUUUUCAUUGGAUCUCCUGCAAUUUUACUAUAAUCUGGCUUGGUGUGAACUUCUUUUUAUUGAACCAGCUUGGGUUUGUUGUGUUUUCUGUAAGUGGGGAUGUGUAGUUUCAUGAGUUCUGGAAAGUUCUGAGCCAUUAUUUCUUCAAAUACAUCUCCUCUCCCAUUCUCUCUAUUCUGGAAUUCUGGUUAGACGUACGUUGUACUUGCCCACCUCCUGCUUUGUGUUUCUUCCCCUGCCCUGUAUUUUCCAUCGUCUUAUAUGUCUCUGUGUUAAAUACUGGCUUAUGUGGUCAGAUCUGAUUCUUAGUUCUUUCUUCAACUGUAUUUAAUAAACUUGUAGUCCAU